rnacentral:rRNA from 1 species
UUGGAGGGCAAGUCUGGUGCCAGCAGACAUGGUAAUUCUAGCUCAAAUAGUGUAUAUUAAAGUUGUUGCAGUUAAAAAGCUCAUAGUCGAAUUUCGGAAUCUGUCCAUCGGUCGGGCGUACUGGUGUGGUGGGUUCUUACCUUCUGAAUAACUAGUAUGCCAUUAACUUGGUCGUUGGGAAAGCAGAACUAUUACCUUGAAAAAUUAGAGUGUACAUUAGCAUGGAAUGAUAAAAUAGGACGACAUGGUUCUAUUUUCUUGGUUUCUAGGAUCACCGUGAUGAUUAAUAGGAGUCGGGGCAUUAGUAUUAAAUUGUCAGAGGUGAAAUUCUUGGAUUUAUUGAAGACUAACUUCUGCGAAAGCAUUUUCCAAAGAUGUUUUCAUUAAUUAAGAACGAAAGUUAGGGAAUCGAAGACGAUCAGAUACCGUCGUAGUCUUAACCAUUAACUAUGCCGACUAGGGAUCGGAUGAUGUUAAUUUUUUUAAUGACUCGUUCGGCGCCUUACGGGAAAC